AAAGUCGUAACAAGGUUUCCGUAGGUGAACCUGCGGAAGGAUCAUUAAAGAAAUUUAAUAAUUUUGAAAAUGGAUUUUUUUGUUUUGGCAAGAGCAUGAGAGCUUUUACUGGGCAAGAAGACAAGAGAUGGAGAGUCCAGCCGGGCCUGCGCUUAAGUGCGCGGUCUUGCUAGGCUUGUAAGUUUCUUUCUUGCUAUUCCAAACGGUGAGAGAUUUCUGUGCUUUUGUUAUAGGACAAUUAAAACCGUUUCAAUACAACACACUGUGGAGUUUUCAUAUCUUUGCAACUUUUUCUUUGGGCAUUCGAGCAAUCGGGGCCCAGAGGUAACAAACACAAACAAUUUUAUCUAUUCAUUAAAUUUUUGUCAAAAACAAGAAUUUUCGUAACUGGAAAUUUUAAAAUAUUAAAAACUUUCAACAACGGAUCUCUUGGUUCUCGCAUCGAUGAAGAACGCAGCGAAAUGCGAUACGUAAUGUGAAUUGCAGAAUUCCGUGAAUCAUCGAAUCUUUGAACGCACAUUGCGCCCCUUGGUAUUCCAGGGGGCAUGCCUGUUUGAGCGUCAUUUCCUUCUCAAACAUUCUGUUUGGUAGUGAGUGAUACUCUUUGGAGUUAACUUGAAAUUGCUGGCCUUUUCAUUGGAUGUUUUUUUUCCAAAGAGAGGUUUCUCUGCGUGCUUGAGGUAUAAUGCAAGUACGGUCGUUUUAGGUUUUACCAACUGCGGCUAAUCUUUUUUUAUACUGAGCGUAUUGGAAACGUAUCGAUAAGAAGAGAGCGUCUAGGCGAACAAUGUUUCUUAAAGUUUGACCUCAAAUCAAGGUAAGAAGUACCCGGCUGAACUUUAAGCAUAUCAAUAAAGCGGGA
rnacentral:rRNA from 1 species